rnacentral:rRNA from 1 species
ACGGUUACGUCCGACUAACGAGCGCACCCUCGCUGUGUGUUAUAUGUGUCACACGGGACUGCCCGGUCUUAAGCCGGAGGAAGGUGGGGAUGAUGUCAAGUCAGCAUGGCCUUUAUAUCCUGGGCUACACACACGCUACAAUGGCCAACACAAUAGGUUGCUAAGCCGCGAGGUGGCGCCAAUCCAUAAAGUUGGUCUCAGUUCAGAUUGUAGGCUGCAACCCGCCUGUAUGAAGAUGGAGUUGCUAGUAACCGCAGGUCAGCUAUACUGCGGUGAAUACGUUCCCGGGGCUU